GCUCUUGGUUUAUGACUCUCACAGUCUGGCUCUUAGCUUAUGACUCUCAGUCUGACUCUCGACUUACGACUCUUAGUGUGGUUCUCGGCUUACGACUCUCGAUGUGGCUCUCGACUUACGACUCUCAGUCUAACUCUUGGCUUACGACUCUCAAUCUGACUCUCGGCUUAUGACUCUCAGUUUGGCUCUUGGCUUACCUUUCCUCAACCUAUUUAUCCUACUAAAAAGAUGAU
rnacentral:lncRNA from 1 species